rnacentral:lncRNA from 1 species
UCACACAAGUGUUCGGUCUCUACAGGUAUCCACACGGGGCUAAUCUUGAUCAAGAGAUUCCAAAAUCACUAGGGUGCUAGCUCCUUUGCAGAUUUCUAUCCUUCAAAGCUAAAUUAUCUUCUUCUUUUGUUUUCAAAAAAUCAAUCAAGAAGACUAUAGAUAGGAGAUGAGAGGAUGGAUGGAGGAAGGGGAGAAGAGGAUCCAAUCCUCUUUUUUCUUUCUUUUGCUUUUUGGAUAAUAAGAAAAAGAGACAAAGGGGGCGCAG